CAGAAGAUAAAGACCAAGUAUCACAAGCAUUAAUACAGUGUUUGCGUACUGAAAUUCUGAGAUUGACUCACCGAACAUAAACAGAAGGCAUCUACCAUGGAUGGAUUUGAAGAUUUGAGGCGUUUCCAGUUGGAAAAUGAAGACGAAGCCCUGGCCAAAGUACUAAAAAUGUCCAAACCAGAAGACUCUCCAACUCCCUCAUCUUUGGUGCAGGAUUUUCAAACACAAGAUGAUGAUGAAGAUCAAAUAUUAGCUAGAGCUGUGGCUCUUUCUUUAGAAACACCAG